GACCAUUGAGGUGGUGCAGGAAGUCGAAGGAAAACUUCUUACUCCGGAGUUUGCUCAAGCUAUGAAAACAUAUUUACAUAAAGUAAAAGGAGCGUCAGAAGAUGUCAGCAGAGUCAUCCGUGGUUUAUUAACGGAUGAUCUGCUCGAAAAAUACAAUUGGGAACUAUUUUUAUUUGACAAUAUUCUUCGAGAUGUUUUUCAAAAACAAGGAGCUUCCGAUUUCGAAAAAAG